GAUGAAGAACGUAGCGAAAUGCGAUAAGUAGUGUGAAUUGCAGAAUUCAGUGAAUCAUCGAAUCUUCGAACGCACAUUGCGCCCUUUGGUAUUCCUUAGGGCAUGCCUGUUCGAGCGUCAUUUCAACCCUCAAGCCCUGCUUGGUGUUGGGCGUUUGUCCUGCCUCCGCGCGGGACUCGCCUCAAAGACAUUGGCGGCCGGUUUCCCUUUGCAGGCCACGAGCGCAGCACAGCGAGCGCUCUACGUGGACGCGGGGUCGGCGCACCAGAAGCCCUCUUUCUCGAAUUUUGACCUCGGAUCAGGUAGGGAUACCCGCUGAACUUAAGCAUAUCAAUAAGCGGAGGA
rnacentral:misc_RNA from 1 species